AUGGAUUAUCAACCAAGGGAGAAGCAUCUCUCUGGAUAGAGAUUGUACUUUUCUUGUGUUGGUACUGGUUGUUGGAAGGGCUAUAUCAGGCACCCAAAGGAAGUCUGCAGUGUCUGAGACUACUUUGGAUGAAUUCCUAACAUUCACUGAAGGAUCCUAGAACAAUGCUCAUUAUAAAGACAUAUAAGUAUGUUCUGCUUUGCAAGGAAUGCUGCAUUCUUGUUACAUUGCUUAUUACAUGGAAGAAAAUUCAAGUUAUUUGCUCCCUUCCUAGAAUACUGAAGACUUAUCGGUGCCAGUGUCUAGGUGCCAGCAGUGGGGUUCUGAUUUCCUCUGUGAGGCAAGACCAGCCCUGUGCCACACAGCUGGUUCCACUGGGCUCCAGUGGCCACAUCACAUAUCAUGACUGGACCCUGUAGUCAACAUGGAGGCGCUGCUGGGGACUGUGUUUGAGAAACAGCAUUUUGGCCCUACAGCAGUUGUGAGACAGGAGAGUGGAAAAAGUGUGAGAAACAGCCCUUCAGAAAUCAAGAUUACAGAAGUUUUAAAGGAAAUGAUGCUCCAGGCAACAGAAGAUACCAUAGCGGAGAGGAGACCACGCAGAAGCAGAGGGAAAAUGUGAGAAGGCAGGAGCAAGAGAGAAUCUAUUAUAGACUGUUGACACACCUGUCCUUCUCAGACCACUGGGGUUAAGGGAGAGGCAAAAGAGUUGGGAAUGUAUGACCGAAGACUUUAUUGCUCAUAAUGUUGCUCUAAAUUUUAAAACUGGCAAUAAAUUAAAUUAUUUUU
ensembl:lncRNA